UACGGAGGAUGCGAGCGUUAUCCGGAUUUAUUGGGUUUAAAGGGUGCGUAGGCGGAUCGUUAAGUCAGUGGUCAAAUUGAGGGGCUCAACCCCUUCCCGCCAUUGAAACUGGCGAUCUUGAGUGGAAGAGAAGUAUGCGGAAUGCGUGGUGUAGCGGUGAAAUGCAUAGAUAUCACGCAGAACCCCGAUUGCGAAGGCAGCAUGCCGGCUUCCGACUGACGCUGAAGCGCGAAAGCGUGGGGAUCGAACAGG
rnacentral:rRNA from 1 species